CUAAUAAGACUGCAUGUACUCUGUUUUGGUUGUCUGUAUGUUUUAUACUAUUUCUUACCUAAUGCGGCGGUAUGUAAUCUUGAGGGGAAUUCACACUGAGUUGGCCACUCAUCCAUCAAAUAUAAAACCGUACAGGUGGCUUAAGUGAUAUGCAUGUUCAGACUUGAUAAGGAGCAGGAUACGAUCACCAGGAAUGCUUGAUUGUAUGCUUGGAGGAGCUGUGUGAUCUUGCGGCUUAUAUUUAUAUGAUUUCUAUUAUUUCUCAUGUAUUAGAUCAUGUAAUUCUUGUAUUUGUUAAUUUUGGAGACAUUAGUUUGUAUAAGUCAUUAUGGGCAUAUUUGAAUAAUAAUGAAAUUUUCCUU